rnacentral:sRNA from 1 species
UACCGGAAAAAGUCUGGCUUGAUCAAAAGGAAGAUGAUAAAAAAUACAUGAAGAGUCUGCAGAAAACAGCAAAAAUCAUGGUACACUCUCCUACAAAACCAGCCAGUUACUCAGUAAAGUGGACGAUAGAAGAAAAAGAGCUGUUUGAACAAGGGCUGGCUAAAUUUGGCCGAAGAUGGACCAAAAUUUCAAAGCUAAUUGGAAGCCGCACUGUUUUACAAGUGAAGAGUUAUGCAAGACAGUAUUUUAAAAAUAAGGUCAAAUGCGGUCUGGAUAAAGAAACACCAAAUCAGAAGACUGGCCAUAAUCUUCAAGUUAAAAAUGAAGAUAAAGGGACAAAGGCAUGGACACCAUCAUGUUUAAGGGGACGUGCUGAUCCCAACUUGAAUGCUGUAAAAAUUGAAAAGUUAUCUGAUGAUGAAGAAGUAGACAUCACAGAUGAGGUGGAUGAGUUGUCUUCUCAAACACCCCAGAAGAAUUCUAGCAGUGAUCUCUUGUUAGACUUUCCUAAUAGUAAAAUUCAUGAAACCAAUCAAGGAGAAUUCAUUGCUUCUGACAGCCAGGAAGCUCUCUUUUCUAAGUCUUCCAGGGAUUGUCUUCAAAAUGAAAAGCAAGAUGAAACACUUUCAAGCUCAGAAAUUACACUGUGGACUGAGAAACAGAGCAAUGGUGACAAAAAAUCAAUUGAAUUAAAUGACCAGAAAUUUAAUGAAUUGAUUAAAAACUGCAACAAGCAUGAUGGAAGGGGAAUAAUAGUUGAUGCCAGGCAGUUGCCUUCUCCAGAGCCUUGUGAAAUUCAGAAAAAUUUGAAUGAUAAUGAAAUGCUUUUUCAUUCUUGCCAAAUGGUAGAGGAAAGCCAUGAGGAAGAAGAGCUUAAGCCACCAGAACAGGAAAUAGAAAUAGAUAGAAAUAUUAUUCAAGAAGAAGAAAAACAAGCAAUUCCUGAGUUUUUUGAGGGGCGCCAAGCUAAAACACCAGAACGCUAUUUGAAAAUUAGAAAUUAUAUUUUGGAUCAAUGGGAGAUAUGCAAACCGAAAUACUUAAAUAAGACCUCAGUACGUCCUGGCCUGAAGAACUGUGGAGACGUUAAUUGUAUUGGACGGAUUCAUACAUACCUCGAAUUGAUAGGAGCAAUCAAUUUUGGAUGUGAACAGGCUGUGUAUAAUAGGCCACAAACAGUUGACAAAGUACGAAUCAGAGACAGAAAAGAUGCAGUAGAAGCAUACCAACUUGCCCAGCGUCUGCAGUCUAUGCGUACAAGGAGACGUAGGGUCCGAGACCCAUGGGGAAACUGGUGUGAUGCAAAGGACUUAGAAGGACAAACGUUUGAGCAUCUCUCUGCUGAGGAGUUGGCAAAAAGAAGAGAAGAGGAAAAAGGCAGACCUGUUAAAUCUUUAAAAGUGCCAAGACCAACAAAAAGCUCGUUUGAUCCCUUCCAACUGAUACCUUGUAAUUUUUUUAGUGAAGAAAAGCAGGCGUAAGACAGAGUAUGGAAGACGUGUAUUUUGGAUCUUAACUGUCCUAUUUUACAAGGAAUCUAAAAAUAAGUCUUUUCUUUUGGAGAAAAGCCAAACAAUUGCAUGUUUCCAUAUUUUAGAGAAAAUAAAUUAAUCAUGCUCAUGUUUCUAUGGCAGAAGUGAUUGGUCUGUUAGGAGGAAGAUACUCAGAAGUUGAUAAAGUAGUUGAAGUCUGUGCAGCAGAACCAUGUAACAGUCUGAGUACAGGACUACAGUGUGAGAUGGAUCCUGUAUCACAAACACAGGCCUCAGAAACCUUGGCUGUUAGAGGCUUCAGUGUUAUUGGAUGGUAUCAUUCUCAUCCUGCUUUUGAUCCUAAUCCUUCCUUACGAGAUAUUGACACACAAGCUAAAUACCAGAGUUACUUCUCCAGAGGAGGUGCAAAGUUCAUUGGGAUGAUUGUUAGUCCCUAUAAUCGAAAUAAUCCCUUACCAUAUUCUCAGAUUACCUGCCUGGUUAUAAGUGAGGAAAUUAGCCCAGAUGGCUCUUAUCGCUUACCUUACAAAUUUGAAGUACAGCAGAUGUUAGAAGAACCUCAGUGGGGAUUAGUAUUUGAAAAGACAAGAUGGAUAAUAGAAAAAUACAGGCUCUCCCAUAGCAGCGUCCCCAUGGAUAAAAUCUUUCGCCGGGAUUCUGACCUGACUUGUUUGCAGAAACUUUUGGAGUGUAUGAGGAAGACUCUGAGCAAAGUGACCAAUUGCUUUAUGGCUGAAGAAUUCUUGACUGAAAUAGAAAAUUUGUUCCUUUCCAAUUAUAAAAGCAACCAAGAGAAUGGAGUAACCGAAGAGAACUGUACAAAGGAAUUGUUAAUGUGAUUAUUUUAAAGUUAAGACUUUUAAUCUUGACACAGUAGAUCUUACUUUCAAAGUUAUAAACUUAAAGUGAUUGUAGUUAACAUUGGCACAGCUUUGGUAUUUUUUCUCUAUUUCACAAAAUCCAAACUUUGCCACAUAAAUCAUGUGAAAAGGAAGAGAUACAGAUUUGUUUUCAUACAGUGUUUAUCAGAGUGUUCUGCAAACCAGGGUCCACCACGGUGUUCUAGUCCUUUACUGAGCAAUGCUGUAGGCUGUGAAACUUAGCAACCUGGUCGGCUUUACUGUUGUGUUCAGCUUGGGAUUUGGACUAUGUCUCUAAGUCAUUUCUUCCCUGAACUAGUCAUUUAUGUUCCAUUGUGGUAUCUCAUAUUUCAUUUAAAAGCACUUCCAUUCUUUCCAUAUGUUCUGCUGAGAUUUGUUUAUGGCUAUAAAUGAGAUAUGGAUGGGUGGUCACUGAGAUAAUUAAUAUGGUUUAGAACUACUGAUUAGUAAAUCUAACAGGAGGCCAGGAGAGGCAUGACAAGAAAAUCUUAAAAACAGGAAAAACCCAAAGGAGAGAACUAAAUUACCAGUUUCUAAUCAUAGAUACUAGCUUCCAUUUCAUUGUAUAGCAACAGUAUCAUAAGAUAUGCCAUUUUCUCAGCUAUCUGAAAAUUUUUAACCAAUUUUACACACAUAAAAUAAUUAGCUUCAAUUGUGAGUCCACUUACAUUAGUAGGUGUGAUAAAACCUCAUUUAACUGGAACGUAGGUAAUCAUAACUCAAACUUUUUUUCUACUGCCUACUACUAGGAGAAAGAGGCAAAUGAUAAUAAAGCUGGAAUAAAUCAGAGAUUUAAUUUUU